rnacentral:rRNA from 1 species
CACCGCGGUCAUACGAGUGUUAGCCCAAGCAGAUAAUUCAACGGCGUAAAAGGUGGUUAGGGGAUUAAUACAACUAAAGCUAAACGCCCUCCAGGCCGUUAUACGCAUCCGAUGGUAUGAAACCUCACCACGAAAGUGGCUUUAACCAACCUGAAUCCACGACAGCCAGGAUA